rnacentral:rRNA from 1 species
AUAGGUUCGGGGUGGAAGCAUAGCGAUAUGUGGAGCUGACGAAUACUAAUCGAUCGAAGACUUAAUCAAUUU